GCAGACACAUUCUAGCCAAUCAGCAGCAGACCCUCCUUCCCAGACCCUCCCAUCUCCUGGACAGCUCACUAAGAAUGCAGCUUCACAAUGAAUGUAAAAUGGAUGCUGUCCAGGAGGUGGGAGGGUUUGGGAGGGAGGGUCUGCUGCUGAUUGGCUGGCAUGUGUCUG
rnacentral:miRNA from 1 species